rnacentral:scRNA from 1 species
GGAGAGACCGCCCUCCUGGGAUAGCUUCUUCUGGG